rnacentral:lncRNA from 1 species
UCUCGCUCUAGAACAAACGCACGGCAGGCUCGCUCUGAGAUCCAUGGGUGUCCGUCUUUCGAUCGGCAGUAGACGUACCAGCUCGACCUGGGGGCUCCGCAGUGCCUGCAAGGAGCUCGUCGACAACCCUAAAAAUGGCGUGAAUGAAAUCUGAGCGAUGACAGACGUCUGGUCGCAGUAAUUGUUCACAUGGAGAGGAUGAUAGCUGGACCUGACAGAAACUCGAACGUUUCAGUGCUUCCCUCCGACGGCCAUCAAGGCGACGGCUCUCGUCUUCCUGGUUCCGCAGUUACGAC